AAGCUAUCUGAUCCUGCUAGCUCGCAAUAUAUCUACUUGUUGUAGCUAGCUAGCUACAUUACUAAGGUUGCUGUGUUCUAAAUUGGGAGUCAUUUUACAGCUAGCAUUGAUGGUAUCACGUUCGUACAACUAAAUAGUUUGAUUACAAAUAAAUAACAUAUACUUUAUCUGGUAGCAGUUUGUAAGAUGAGAUCUCUCUCGAGAUGUCACAAGCUGUCUACUACCUUAGAUAUGGAUUACAGCACAAUAUGGGAUCAGCAUACUUUAUAAAAAUCAGCUCCUCUGCAGAGAGGUCCUCUCUCCUCUACAGAGAUCGAUAAUCUCGAAAACUAAAGCAAAUAGCUUGCUAGGGCCAACCACCUAAAUAUAAAUUGUAGAAAGAGGUAGGGUUUAUGACUUUGUGGCUGUGGUAACUCUAGUGACAUCCGACCAGGCAGGCGUUUUUUAAUCUUCAAACCAAACGAGAACUGUGUUUGGUUUUUUUUGGAAGAGGAAAUGGUUACAGAAAUGUUACCACAACACCCCACAGCCAGAUGCAGAGGCAAACUGAAAGAGAGUCAUUAGUCAAUGGACACCCCAGACAGAAUCGGAGAGGGACAUGAAAAAGCUAAGGCUGCGUCGCCAUAGAUAGACAGGCUUUGGCCAUUUGCCUAAAAUAACUGCUGAUUUGAGGCGGCAACUGAAGACAUGUCAGACGCCCCCUCAAUGUCUGAUGUGGAGACGGACCCAGAAGACCCCAAAGUAUUUUUUUUGUGGCAUCUCCAUGCUGGCGCUCCCCUGAGUUAGUCUGCCGACUGAUUGGUCGGCAGACUAGAGAAGAAGGGCCAAGUGCUCUUAUGAGGAUAAAAAGUGCCGGUAGAAGGAAAACCAGUCCAAUCGUCCACUUCUACCAUAGCUCUACCCAGAACAUCUGAUUUUGCCAUGAACAGACUGGUCAAUGGAGCAUUGUGUAAGCUCUACAUAGUCAAUCAUCUGCACCUUGGAGAAUAUUUUCACGGACUCUCCUCACAUGUGCUUCUCAAGAUACUUUUUGCACUGACUCUCUUACACAAAACACACACACCAUCACUAUUUAUACUUUUUUUAAUGUCACCAGCUCAACCAUUGCAAUACAGUGCAAUUGUAUUUCAGUAUUUCAUUUCACUGGUUUUGCUUAUUUGUUGGAUUUGUAUUUCAAUACUUUUUAAGCAUACAUUUUCUGUCAUUAAGCAUAUUGUUUUUGUUAUUUGCUUAUUUUUGGGAAGUUUUUUUGUAAUAUUUCUUACCUAUGCCUUAUGUAAUAUUCUUUUUGUAUUCAUAUUCUAAUUUAAUCUGACACAUGCUGCUGUAUUUUAUAAGUUGUAUGACAUUUGAAAACAUU